CGCGAGCGAGCGAGGCGAGUGAGCCGGGGGUUGCUUGUCCCCUAAUGCUUACAUAAAUAUAAUUCAAUAGAGUGGAUGCCUACCAGACAAAGCGGAGUAUGCAACAUGGCCGCGGUCAGAGGUUAUAGAGUGUUGGGCUAUAUUGAUAAUUACCCAGCGCGCCCGCACCAGGAACCGUCGAACGAAAAUGAAAAUCGAUUUUUUUCCUAAUACAAAAUAUCUUGGCUAUUGUAUAAUUCGUAGAAUUUUAAAAUUUUGUAAAAAAAUCUCGAAAACACUUGUGUCAGGUCAUGUUUUGUCUUAUAUCUUUAAAGCCUUAUGUUCCAUUGUUGCUGAACUUUUAACUGAAUACAGGGAAAUUUAAUAACUUUUUGUUAAAGUUCACGAGGAAUAUACGAGAGAGAGACGCUUUUUUAGAGAGACUUUUCCAAAGAGACUGAAAGAGAAGAACAUCGAUAUACGCUUCUGAGCAGCAGGGUUGCACAGUGAUAGCUCGAUAGCUCAUUAUCGUGGCGGUCACUUUGAACAAAAAGGUACAUAAUUAUAUAUAAAACAAUACACUCGACUUCAUCGAAAUUAACAAUGGUUCCCUUCAUGGUUUGACUUUGACACUUCUAAAUUAAAGCGGCUAUAGUGAGGGUCUACGGCGUCCUCCCCUGGGAGAAAAAUGAAAAAUU